GGAGCUCCAGAGCCCGAGUCUUUCUUAAGAGGCAAAGCUUUCUUAAGAGGCAAAGCGCGGGAACUGACGUCGGGGUAGGGCGUGCAGGGCGGCAUACUUAGUUACUCUGGUUAUCUUGAGUUAAUGAGCCACCCUGUCGUCUGGCCGGAGGCAAGAGACUGUAAAUCGAUUGAUUGUUCAACAUUCCUUCCCAAAGUGGGACACUCGGCAACCUUGGUUGUCUCCUAAGGGACUGUGCUUGUUAGCGUGUGGCAUGCCAAUGGAUAAUAAUGAUAAUGAAAACUAUGAUGAUGACAAAAA
rnacentral:lncRNA from 10 species